AUGGAUUCAGAGAUACGGGCUAUCAUGGCGCAAUACAUGCCCUUGGAUAAUCAAGGAGAUAUUCCUGUACACCAUGCUCCCGGCAGCGACAUCUGAUGGAAGAAGAUAACAAUGUUCAAAUUCUGAGGUGCUUUAGUAGCUUAUUUAAUCAGCGAUUACAUGGUAGUUUUUAUCAUGUAGCCUGUCACACUUGUAUGUAAAUUUAAGUUAUAUAUAAGUGGCACGCAUAAUUCCAG
rnacentral:misc_RNA from 1 species